rnacentral:rRNA from 1 species
UACGGAGGACCCAAGCGUUAUUCGGAUUUAUUGGGUUUAAAGGGUGCGUAGGCGGGAUAGUAAGUCAGAGGUGAAAUCCCACAGCUUAACUGUGGAACUGCCUUUGAUACUGCUAACCUUGAGUACAGAUGAUGUGGGCGGAAUAUGACAUGUAGCGGUGAAAUGCUUAGAUAUGUCAUAGAACACCAAUUGCGAAGGCAGCUCACAAAACUGUAACUGACGCUGAGGCACGAAAGCAUGGGGAUCGAACAGG